rnacentral:rRNA from 1 species
UACGUAGGGUGCGAGCGUUAAUCGGAAUUACUGGGCGUAAAGCGUGCGCAGGCGGUUCGUUGUGUCGGCGGUGAAAGCCCCGGGCUUAACCUGGGAAUGGCCGUUGAAACUGGCGAACUGGAGUGUGGCAGAGGGGGGUGGAAUUCCGCGUGUAGCAGUGAAAUGCGUAGAGAUGCGGAGGAACACCGAUGGCGAAGGCAGCCCCCUGGGAUAAUACUGACGCUCAUGCACGAAAGCGUGGGGAGCAAACAGG